rnacentral:rRNA from 1 species
UCAGGAUGAACGCUAGCGACAGGCUUAACACAUGCAAGUCGAGGGGCAGCGGGGGCGUAGCAAUAUGCCUGCCGGCGACCGGCGCACGGGUGAGUAACACGUAUGUAACCUGCCCUAUGCAGGGGGAUAACCCGGAGAAAUCCGGCCUAAUACCGCGUAAUACCUUAGGGGAGCAUUCUCUUGAGGUUAAAGGAGAGAUCCGGCAUAGGAUGGACAUGCGUCGCAUUAGGUAGACGGCGGGGUAACGGCCCACCGUGCCGACGAUGCGUAGGGGUUCUGAGAGGAAGGCCCCCCACACUGGUACUGAGACACGGACCAGACUCCUACGGGAGGCAGCAGUGAGGAAUAUUGGUCAAUGGCCGAGAGGCUGAACCAGCCAAGUCGCGUGAGGGAAGAAUGUCCUAAGGAUUGUAAACCUCUUUUGUCGGGGAGCAAAAAGGCUCUGCGGAGUCGUAUUGAGAGUACCCGAAGAAAAAGCAUCGGCUAACUCCGUACCAGCAGCCGCGGUAAUACGGAGGAUGCGAGCGUUAUCCGGAUUUAUUGGGUUUAAAGGGUGCGCAGGCGGCGUGUCAAGCAAGCGGUAAAAUAGCGGGGCUCAACCCCGUCGAGCCGUUUGAACUGGCGCGCUUGAGUUCAGGCGAGGUAGGCGGAAUUCGUGGUGCAGCGGUGAAAUGCAUAGAUAUCACGAAGAACUCCGAUUGCGAAGGCAGCUUACCAGUCUGCGACUGACGCUCAGGCACGAAAGUGUGGGUAUCGAACAGGAUUAGAUACCCUGGUAGUCCACACAGUAAACGAUGAGCGCUAGGGGUCCGGGUCGAAUGAGGCUUGGGUGCCCGAGCGAAAGCGUUAAGCGCUCCACCUGGGGAGUACGCCGGCAACGGUGAAACUCAAAGGAAUUGACGGGGGCCCGCACAAGCGGAGGAACAUGUGGUUUAAUUCGAUGAUACGCGAGGAACCUUACCCGGGCUCAAACGACUCAGGAAUAUAUUGGAAACGAUGUAGCCAGCAAUGGUCUGAGUCGAGGUGCUGCAUGGUUGUCGUCAGCUCGUGCCGUGAGGUGUCGGCUUAAGUGCCAUAACGAGCGCAACCCCUACCGCCAGUUGCCAACGGGUAAAGCCGGGAACUCUGGCGGGACUGCCGGCGCAAGCUGCGAGGAAGGCGGGGAUGACGUCAAAUCAGCACGGCCCUUACGUCCGGGGCGACACACGUGUUACAAUGGCAGGUACAGCGGGAAGCCACCUGGUGACAGGGAGCGGAACUCGAAAGCCUGUCUCAGUUCGGAUUGGAGUCUGCAACUCGACUCCAUGAAGCUGGAUUCGCUAGUAAUCGCGCAUCAGCCAUGGCGCGGUGAAUACGUACCCGGGCCUUGCACACACCGCCCGUCA